UCUCAAUUUCACUCCUAAUUAUGAGUUUUGCUUCUCUUCAAAUGGGCCAUGUUCGUAUGCAUGUCAUUGUGACUGGUCACAAGUCUUUCUUUCUUUCAUAUCACUAAAUUUAGAAUUUAUUUGACCUGCCACUUGCCAACAACAUUUAAUCGCAGGUUGCAAACGAAUAAGACUAUGAUCAGAAUGGAUCUUGGUUAUAAUUAGUCCUCGCUUUGUAAUAGCUGAUAGAACAAACCUUUAUUGAUCAGCUGCAGGUAUUCUACUGGUGCUGGUGUAAUGGCGGUACCAUAAAAACUUUCAUCUCUUCAAACCUUUCACUUGGACAACUGAUAAGAGACAAAGUGAUGAUGAAUUGGAAGUCAACAAGAAUGAAACUAAGUCCUCAAGUCUAUCGUCAGAAUCCUAUCUCUAUUUCCUCUUUUUAUUUCAAUUAUUUAAUUAGACAAUUCAUAGACUAGUCUGCUCCUAGAUUAUAGGAUCCAAGCAAAACAUGUUCUCUUCCAUUAUCUUUAUGCUUCCUGUUUUGUUGGGAACUUACGUUCCAUUUGAUUCUAUAUAAGAAAAGCCAAAAAGAAAAAAAAAAGGCAGACUGGAUUUGCCAAAAGAAACUAGCUUGUGUUGUGUUUAUUAGUUUGUUCUUCACAAACUCUCUUAGCUUUGAGGAGGGGCUUUAAUUGACAUCAAAGUAAACUUGUGUUCUAAGGUAUCAAAGGAGUGAUUGGGUUCACUCCUAACAACAACUCGCUGCACAGUUUCAAGAGUUUCAUGUUGAUCUCCGUAUGGUUGAGGCUGAGAGAGUUGGAUGACCAGUUGCUUCUGAUGUACCUACCAACUAUCAAGCAUAACAAGGACACAGUUGAGUCUAGCUGAGAAGCUAAACAUAGCUGCUCAAAUGCUGUAAUAAGCUUUUAAACACACAAAACGGUUUGCUGAAAACGUGGAAUGUUGCGUUUGGUUUGAAUGUUUAGACAUUCAGUCACUCGUUGUAGCUUUCACAAAUUGCAAUUUAGAAAGAGAUAACAUACUCAUAUUCAUGAGUACAAAAGAAGUUCUUAAAGAGUUUUAGUUUGUGUCAAUUUUUAAACAAGAUACAUAAUACUGUAAGUACUAAUGGUUUAGCAAGUCUCUCAUAACAUAACCUCAUUGUCAUCAUGUGACUCGAGAAGUAUUUCAUCAUCGGACUCGAUUAAGAUCCUAACAAAAACGUUUUUUGACAAGAAUUUUUAGAAGGAAACACUAAUCAUAUAUACUAAGACAACAUACAGUUAUGAAUUUGACUUUUUUUUUUUUUUUUUUUUGAAUUUGACCUCUUUGUGAUAAAGAAAUACUUAUAUGCGGCAACUAUAUAUGUUUACGCGAUGCUUAAACGCCAUAUACAUGGAGAUUUGUAUUCACCGUAUUAGAUUCGUCAUAUAUCAAAGAAAUAAUGUAGUCUCUCAACAUAUGUAAGAAAAAUAUGUUGUUUAUACAGCCGUAUAUAACAAAUUUAUAUGUGUAGGCCGGUGUGUCAAUAUUGAAAGGCAUGCAUGCACUUGUAAUGUAAGUGAGCAACUUGCAUACAUUGUUUACAUUAGUCUAACUUAUAAUUCCAUUUCCGACUUGCCCCACCAAUCAGUCUUUAGCUAUCGGUCUCUAUAGCCUUACAUAGAGGUAGCACCAUUUUAACCAAUAUAUAUUAAUAUUCAAUUUUUUUUAUAUAAUAGUCGUGGCCUGCUGCUAAGCUACUACAAUAGUAGGUCACAUCGAUCGCUCAUAUAAGAUAUUUAGUUUUUUUUUUUGCUUUAUAAGAUUUUUGAUAAAACCUUAUUUACGAUAGUUUGUAAUCAAUCUCAUGGUUUUAUCUAUUGGGACUCUUUUUCGAUACAAGGUAACACGUUCAUGGUUAGCUACAACUAUAUUUACGGCUUGACGUUUAGAGUAUCCAAAACAAUCCAUCUCGGUUCGAUUUUUCAACACGAUCAGACUCAUAUUUAUAACCAAAACAAUUCUUAAAUUGUACUUACUUUAAAUAUAUCUUAUAUAAUAAAGAAGACUUUAGUCUCUCCUUAUGAAGCUACAUCAUCAAUGAAGGAAGGACAUUUUCUGCCACGUGGCGACUUCUUAAAAAAAAAUUCGGCAAGUUCUGUUUUCUAUCCGUGUGUUUAUGGGCCCAUUUUCUGUUUUCUUUUAUAUUCCUACGGGCCUUGCGAAUAUUUGAACAAGACCCAUUAAGUUUUAGGGUUUCCUCAUGAGUCUUCCACCUUUCGCUGCAGCAGCGGCGCGCCUCUUUGGAUCUCCGUCAACGACACUGUAACGGCUGACGUUUGCAUAUUCAUCUGUCGUAUUAAAUUAAGCAUUUACGUCCGCCCCACUCCUAUCACUUUCUUAGGCAUUAAAUGUCAUCCUCACAGUCAAAGAUAAGCUUUACUCUGCCAACGGCGAGCUUUAUCAAUGGCGAAUUCGUACAUUCUUCUUGCUGACUUGAAAGCUGAACUUCGUUACUGUGGAUGUCAGGCCACUGAGGUUCUAGGAGGCAAGAAACUCAAUAAAGGCUCUAUGUGACUAAAAAAGUGAUAGCUCUGUUUUCAACGAUCGGUCAAUGCAAACCGCCUCAAAACUUACCAACACCUUCUCAGUUAAGGCUCUGUUUUCUCCAUUUCUGGUUUUGACGUGGCACGGAGCAACAACAAUUUCCGAUUGUCUGACGCCCUUGACGCCCUGCCAAUCGUCCAAUGAAGAAACCACAAGGAGAAACAGCCUCUCUGAGGGCUGAAAGAUUGCCUAUCUAAGUAUCUAUGAACUAUAGUUAUCUCUUCUACAUUUAUUUAUUUUUGAGAAUCUUUUUGCGUAUGGGUUUGACUGCUUAAGCUGAACAACUUUUAUUAGUUUCAGCCUGGAACAUGUUCCCCUUUUAGAGCUAACUUCAUUCAUGAGAAGUUAAAAACUAAACAAGAUCUAAAUUGUCUGCUAGAUGAUGAAUGGACAAUUAGUCACAGGGCGUGUUCAUCUUUGGUGACAAGGUGUACAACAAUCUUUCUCCAGUAUUUCUGUCUAUGAUCUAUGUUUAUUUCUUCUAUCAAUUUUUUUUUUCAGUUUUGGCAAUCAUUGUUUGUAGGGUCUGAUUAGAGAACUCAGCUUCAGCUUGGUAACUCAGGAAAUUAAAGUUGUGUGUUGUCAUUAUACUACAUCUUUGGAAUUAUGUUCAUUGGCGUAAUUUUCUCUUACUCGUACCUCUUCCUAGCUUUUUGCAAGUUGUGACUCUAUUCUUCAUUCCAGAAUGAAUGUACGGCUUCAUUGCAGGCUCUCCGUGUAGAUAAUGUUGAAGUCUCUGAAUAAGCCAACAACAUCAAAGUAUGACCUACUACCCAGUGUUGUACCCGAAGAUCUUUAUUAGUCUUCACAAGCCAUUUUAGAUGACUUCUCUCGAAUGCCCCACCACUUGAGAAACGUCAAGUGAUCCUCAUGUUCAUGUUUAUUAGUCUCCAUUUUAUUUUUAAUGACCUUAAGGUGGAUAUUUUGUAGCUAUGAAAACGUUCAUGUUCUUUUGGUUUGGUAACGGAUUCGUCUAAAACCGAUACCAACUGAGCAGAUUCGCUUCUGUAACCACGACCAGCUUAUGGCAUUGGCAAAUAUCACAACAGCUACCUGACAUCCAAGGUGAGCUCAGUGCAACCAUAUUUCCCUACGUCCUGCCAGUACGUAUAAAUAUUGUGCAAAAUGUUGUUAAAGACAAUCUUCUUAUUUUAAUAAAAUUUAGAUAUGGGUGCUUGCUUAA